rnacentral:rRNA from 1 species
UAGGGAAUCUUCGGCAAUGGACGAAAGUCUGACCGAGCAACGCCGCGUGAGUGAAGAAGGUUUUCGGAUCGUAAAACUCUGUUGUUAGAGAAGAACAAGGAUGAGAGUAGAAUGUUCAUCCCUUGACGGUAUCUAACCAGAAAGCCACGGCUAACUACGUGCCAGCAGCCGCGGUACUACGUAGGUGGCAAGCGUUGUCCGGAUUUAUUGGGCGUAAAGCGAGCGCAGGCGGUUUCUUAAGUCUGAUGUGAAAGCCCCCGGCUCAACCGGGGAGGGUCAUUGGAAACUGGGAAACGUGAGUGCAGAAGAGGAGAGUGGAAUUCCAUGUGUAGCGGUGAAAUGCGUAGAUAUAUGGAGGAACACCAGUGGCGAAGGCGGCUCUCUGGUCUGUAACUGACGCUGAGGCUCGAAAGCGUGGGGAGCAAACAGG